UACGGAGGAUGCGAGCGUUAUCCGGAUUUAUUGGGUUUAAAGGGUGCGUAGGCGGUUUAUUAAGUUAGUGGUUAAAUAUUUGAGCUAAACCCAAUUGUGCCAUUAAUACUGGUAAACUGGAGUACAGACGAGGUAGGCGGAAUAAGUUAAGUAGCGGUGAAAUGCAUAGAUAUUAGGAGGAACACCAGUGGCGAAGGCGGCUUACUGGACGAUGACUGACGUUGAGGCUCGAAAGCGUGGGGAGCAAACAGG
rnacentral:rRNA from 1 species